UAUCAAAGCAUGGUACCUACCAUCUGAGGUC
rnacentral:piRNA from 1 species